GCCAGAUAUGGUGAUGCAUGCCUGUAAUCCCAACUACUCAGGAGGCUGAAGCAGAAGGAUCAAAAGUCUGAGGCCAGCUUCAGCAACUUAAUGAGGCCCCAGGCAAAUUAGUGAGAUUCUGUUUCAA
rnacentral:sRNA from 1 species